CCACCUCAAUCUGUAAAUCCUGGGUUGAUGCUUUUAUUACUAUAUAGCACUGGGUUGCUUUCCUCCCCAUUCACUGUUUAGUGAAUAUACCCUUUAUGCUGUGUUUCCAGAUUUUCUCAUUGUUUUAUGGAUCAUUUACUCCUGGUAGAAGCAUUAGUAUUUCUAUUUGCCCCUUUUCAGAUUUACUUUUUUUUGUCAAAUAUGACAUACACAUCCUUUAUACUGGCAACAAGGCUGUACUAAGAUCAAAAGAUGGCAUGCAAUUGCACCAGGGGGAUAAGCCAGGGUGAACUCAAACCAUUAGCAGAGAUAUUUUUAUUCUGUAUCUGCUCCAGAACCUCCAGAGACAUUGUGCCUCCACCGUCACUAUGCCUGCUUUCCCUGGGGUCACCGAUUCACUAGGUCAGGGAAAGGAAACAUUCGGCACUCCAGAUCUGGUGGACUGCAUCCUCCAUAAUGCUGUUACAACCAUAAUGCUGACAAAGCACCAUGGGAGAUGCAGUCCAAAACAUCAGGAGUGCCGAAGGUUGCCUAUGCCUGCACUAGGUAAUAACACAGAUCUUUAAAAUGCCCGCAAUAUCGUCC